UACGUAGGGUGCGAGCGUUGUCCGGAAUUAUUGGGCGUAAAGAGCUCGUAGGCGGUCUGUCGCGUCGAUCGUGAAAACUUGGGGCUUAACCCUGAGCUUGCGGUCGAUACGGGCAUGACUGGAGUUCGGCAGGGGAGACUGGAAUUCCUGGUGUAGCGGUGAAAUGCGUAGAUAUCAAGAGGAACACCUGCGGCGAAGGCGGGUUGCUGGGCCGACACUGACGCUGAAGUGCGAAAGCUAGGGGAGCGAACGGG
rnacentral:rRNA from 1 species